rnacentral:lncRNA from 1 species
ACUUCCUGCAGACGUAGAGUGGGACUAUUGUAUAAGAACAUUGCCCUAUAUUAUUCAUGUCGUUGUAAGUGUGAGGUUUUUAUUGUUGUAAUCAUCGUAUAACAUUAUAUUUGUGCUACUAUGAGUAUUUUGUAUUUUUACCAAGAACAACAAAAUCCGGGUAAACGGUACUUUAGGAGCUUAGUAGGUUUCUUUAGAUGUUAUUGAAACUACGAAGCUGUCUUCUGUAUAAAUUAGUUAAUCUUUCGAAUGUACCCACAUUUUCUAGUAUUGGUUAUCGGUUCACUUACAACUUGUUUGUCAUUAUUAGAACUAAUUCAGAUAAUGUUAUUGCAAUUAAAAAUUUAUUGAACAGUUCAAGACUGUCGUGGUUUUUAGACCAACAGGAUGAUGUAAAGAUUUUCACACACUGGCUUAAAUAAGUUUAAGAAAAUGUUUAUUGGACAUGUAUAUCCAAAUAAUAGUGCUAUAGAUCGUAUUAAAAGAAUGUCUAUUCGAAUGACAUAUUAUAAAGCCUCUUUCUCUUGUGAAAACUAUAUCCCUCUAUUAUGAUUUAAGAAUCUCAAAUAACAAUUCUUUGAGUUGAUUGUAGUAUACUGAGAUCCUUACUGCACCAUGUUAACUAAAGCUUGUGAUAUUGAACAGAAGUCUCACAACAUUCUAGUUUGUGAUUACUUUAGAAAAGAAACAGAAAGAUUAAUACCGGAAUAUUAUUUUAAUAUUAUUAUUUUAAUAUCUGAAUGCAGUUAAAGCUAACAGUCAAAUAGCUGUUGCUACUGUUGUUUGUUUGAAGGCUACUGUGUUCUGUGUUCUGUGUGUCUUGUCUAUGGUUAUAUGGUUUUAUAUUGUUAUGCACAGUGACGCAUAUUUUGCAUCAGAUAUUCCUUCUUUUUUGUACUAGGAGUACAAUUUUGUAAUGGAAAUAUUAUUAUUAAUUUUGACUUUUUGUAUUGUUUGUGUAUAAUUUAUUUGCUAUUACAGUAAAACCUCUCUAUGAAGAUCUUCCCGAUUACGAACCUCUCUUAGUUACGACUCAUACAUUUCUCCUGGAAAUAUAUAUAAGCGUCAUCUCCAUUCCGACCAUCUCCUUAACUCACCUUACGACCGACAGUUUGAGCUCUAUGGCGACUUUGGACAGAAAUUUGUGUUUAAAAAAAUUAGUAUAUUUUAAGAAAGACUACUUCUGGUCAACUGUUUACACUAUUGAUAUCAUUUUCCACCUCAGUACACGUAAUGAUCUGUUCAGGCCUUUCUUAGCCCCCACGGGGAUUAAUUAGGAGCCUAAUUAGCAUAUUAAUGAAAAGCGCUAGGUCGUGGUUCGCGAAAUAAAAGCAGACUGGUUUAUCUAUCUGUUAUGGGAAAAAAAGGUGAUUUUGAUGGAUUAUACCAAAUCUUAAUAGACAUGUUUUACUGUACUACCCGCCAGGACGGUUUUACUUGAUGAUCUUCCAUAGAAUAGCUUUCUUUUGACAGUUAUAAUAAACGUUAAAACGGAAGUGUUUGUCAGGAUUCACGCGUGCUUGUGUAUGUGUAUGUUUGAGAGAGAGAGAGAGGGAACUACUAGAGAAAAGUGCCAAAAAAGUUGACUUCUUCGGUAGUGGUAUGUAAAUUACUGGAAAAAACGACAUACAUCUAAAAAUCAUUGUAAAAACUAUUAUAAAAUGAUUUUGCAAAGUUUUAGAUAUAGCUAAGUACAAGUCCAAGACACUAAACUGAUUAUGAGAAGAAAGAACAAACUAUACCACUUAACAUGAAGGCUAGAGAAGUUCUUUCGGUGCAGAAAACGCAUAUUAAAUUACAAAAAUUAACUGUUUUCUCCCGCUUUAUACCAUGAUUUUUAUCAUGGAUAGCUUGCGAUUGAACCAGUUGAUAACCUGCUUAGCAACGAGAUAUCCACACAUCAAAGAUGGCUGCUACGCAGGAUAACAUGACCUGUGCAGUCUGUUCAGAAGUUUACAGGUCAACAAGAUUUCUGCCAAGUCCAAGAAAAGCGAGCGGCAAUAAUGGAACAGAUUCAAGUCCGGUAUGACGUCAUUGUGGCCAUGGCAGCAAAAUAUCGCCACCAAGCACUUAUGGAACUCAAGAAAGCUUCCGAUGAUUUGGAGAAAGAUCUGGCCGCUGACACAUAGCGAGUACAGGAUGAGCUCAACUCUCUUCUCCAGCUCCAAUCCCGCACUCAACACGCGCUGAGUUCCACCUGUGACACGGAGGUCCUGCAGGUGGAGAGAGAGAUGACACGGGGAGAAGGAAGUUCAAAGCAACUGAGAGAACGAGAAGAUGGACUGCCUGUCACGACUUACCGCCAUGUACUCCACGGUGACUUCUAUAACUACAUUGAGGAUCACUACAUGAAGACAUUUAUCGGGUCACCAGUCCAGUUGAGUUUUCCAAGUAAGAAAGCCGUAGAAAUUGUUAGAGUGGGUCGAUGUGGCGAUAGAGGAUGUCGGGAAGUGCAUGCUUUGGGGCAGCGAAAGGACUGACGCAUCGAAGUGUAUUAUGGGGGAGCAGGAGGCGACUAUACUAAAGAGAAAGGUGUGUGUUUUGACUCUAAUGGUCGUAGAGGACCUGAGACAGACUACGGUACGCGGAUAUCAUACAUCUCACGUGAGAAUAUUAUUUUCCGAUGGGAUGAGUUCUCAUUUUGUGCUCUUCCUUCUAAGAACAAAUGUCUGCAUUCUUUAGUUCAGGACUUUGAAUCAGGUGUACUUCAUAUAGUUUCAAUCAAUUGGAAAAAAAAGAGAUAAAAAGGAAAGGAUCUCUUUUUUAUUGACCCCAAAGAUACACAGGGUACAUAACUUUGAUUCAAACGAGCAAGGGACGUUUUUUGCUUUAGUAGAUGAAGAUGAAGGUGAGAACACAAAUGAUGAACUAGUAAAGAUAAACAAGAGUGAAGCGGGUAGCCGGUCAUCCCGUGUAGUACGUCUGUAUUCCAACAAAUCCAACGACCCCAUAGCGACCUUCACGCAAAAGAACUUCUUCCCAACAGACGUCUGCUUUUGUGGCAAAGAUGUGCUGCUGAUCGCUGAUUGGAUGAACGACUGUGUGCACGUGACAAGAGUAUCACACAGUGGCAUCGAGUUUGUCUGCUUCCUUCCUGGCAGUGGUGACAUGGUGCGGCCCACAGCUCUGAACCUUGACCUUAACGGUCAGCUGCUGAUUGGAUGUGGUGAUGGCUGGGUCCUUAGAGUACCUGUCAACUACUAGGAAAUACUUCAUUAUAAAAUUUUCUCUCGCGUGUGGCAUUAUACUAGGCAGUACAUGACAAUGACACCCACAGAACAUAACAAAAAAGGAGGAAAUACAUUUAAAUGCUAAUGCGUGGAAGUUAUGUCAACAAUAAAACUUUAAUGAAUUAAAAUAAUUGCUCAAGACAGCAGCACAGCAAAGAUUCUCUGAACUGUAUGCCGUCUUUUUGUGCAAAGGCUAAAAAGCAAAUGCUUAUUAUCCUUUUUAUGAUGUGCCUAAACACUAGAACAAUUAUGUCUCACCAUCUUUAAAGGUUUAUAUUCUUAUAAGAUUCUCAAAGCGAUUAACAAGAUUCAAGUUUAUACUACAUAUGCGCACAAUACAGGCUUUUACAAAGAAUGUUGAACAGUAAUGCAGAAUCUUGUCUUAAUAGUAUGUUGUGUUUUUAUUUUGGCAACAUAAGCCAAGCUGCAAAAACAUCAGUGUUCUGUGGUUAUACACCACCUGUUGGGUUACCAUGUAAAGCAUGACAAGCUAACGAAUGGAUGCAAAGUCUCCCUAUUUGACUUUUUCUUUAUCAACUCUGCCUAGAAAUUAUUUGUUUCUGAUGCAACUACCAUAAGUUAUACACAACAAAAAUGUGGUGAAUGUCAACAAACGAUAAUGUAAACGACAGGUACAAGAGACCUUUCAUACAGUAAAACAAAUGAUGUUGCGACUAGAAGUCCCAAAAACUGAGCCGUUGACUGUUGUGGAGGAACUGCAAACUGUGUUCAAUAGGUCUGAACAGUUGCUGCACAUGGAUACAGAAGAACUCAAUUUCUUGAAUGUUUUCAAAGACAAAACGAUUUCACUCAUGUUCUUAUUUAGCAGGUGCAGACCAGUGAGUUGAGUGCUGCAGUUGUUUUGAAUUAUACUCUUGGAUUCUGAAGGAAACAACAGACACUUUUGUGCUGCAUCUGCGAAUAACAAAAUUUAUACUGUUACUUCUUUAAAUUUGUUACCAAUUCACUAUUUUUGCAAAGAUAUUACCUGUAUAGAAGUAUUUACAUGUAUACAAACUAUAUUCUUUGAUCUUUCGUAGAUGUAAAAAUAAUCAUUAAUUUGAAUUACUAGCAAAGUUGUUGCUAUAAUCAGAUCUGAGAAAGUUUACUUUCAUUUGAGAAAAACUUUGCCAAAGUGUAUCAUAUUCGCUAGUUUUGUUCCCGACAUAGACAAGCGUUUGCUCGUGCUAGUGUCACUUUGUGUUUGUGUGUGCGUCCGCUCUUUUUUGUAGGUAGUUUAUUGUAAACCCGUGUUGCCAGUACACGAACGGUAAAACAAUAUGGAUGGCACCUGGCGUCAAGAUUUCUGAAAAUAAUAUUUCUUGAUGAAACUCUUUGAGGGCUUAUUCUCUUCGGUAUGACUACAAAUGUACCAAAAGAUACAGUUUUGUGAGAAGACUAUCUAGGAAAAACCUCAUGUAGUCAAGAACUUUCUGCACUACUUCAAAGAUAAAUUUUUGAUUUAAAGUUUACUUUCGAAAAGUUUAACAGAGAAAUAUAAAAUUUUCUUCAACACUGGCUUUUAUAUCAACAUCUUAUUUGAACUCAAGUGUUACACCUGUGUUACAAAACAUGCACAGAGAGAGAGAAGAGAAAUUUAAAAGUGUGAAAGAAAAAAUUGUUAGCUUGCUUCCUACUGCAUCAACUAAUAUAUUUGGGUUGUGUUUAUUUACGCUUUGCAGUAUGUUAUCUUCGAUCAGCAAUACAUGGUUGUAAGCAAGCGAUUAUGUCACAAUUCACUCGUCUAAUCGCCCUCGGCUUAGUGCAAUCAAAAUUAGCGUUGUGAUUGUAGCCUUGUGUACUGUAAUUGAAGUUGAUUCUCAAGAGUAGAAUGUUCUAUUACAUAACAGUGCAGCUUAUACUGCGUAUAUCUGUGUCUCCUACAUUAUGCCUAGCCACAGGGACAAACGGUCAACAAAUAUAAUGCCAUUUUGUUUUUGUAGAUUGUAUUCAUCAUUAUUAUAAUUACAUAUUUUACUUCCAACACAGAAAUUCUUUGAAGGUAAUUAGAGGCUCACGAUAUCUAGACUAGGGAUAGAGGAAUAACGGGACGCCUAUAGACAGCGGCCAUAUUUGAGAUUGUUUCAUUUUGUAAAUUGUUUGAAAUACUCUCGAUUAUUAACAACUUUCCUAAUCACACUAAA